rnacentral:rRNA from 1 species
GACGAACGCUGGCGGCGUGCCUAACACAUGCAAGUCGAACGGAAAGGCCCUACUUUUGCUGCUUUCUCGUUAGGCGAACGGGUGAGUAAAACGCGAGUAACCCCCCCCUAUCUUUCUGAUAUCUCCACGAAACUGCGUAUCAUACCCCAGAGAAGCUCCUGCUGCACAGUGUGCGUUGGUAAGUUUCGGCGGUUCGGGCUGGACUCGCAGCUUAUCAGCUUGUUUGUGUGGUUGUGGCGUACCAAGCCUUUGACGGGUAGCCGGCCUGAGAGGGUGACCGGCGACAUUGGGACUGAGAUACGGCGCAGAAUGCUACGGGAGGCAGCAGUGGGGAAUAUUGCACAAUGGGCGGAAGCCAGAUGCAGCAACGCCGCGAGCGGGAUGACGGCCUUCGGGUUGUAAACCGCUUUCGCCGGUGACGAAGAGUGAGUGACGGUAAUGGGUAAAGAAGCACCGGCUAACUACGUG